AAUCAUGUAAGAUUUUAAAAGUCGAACAGACUUAACUAUUUAAACUCCUGCAUUUAAAGUUUAUCUUAAUUCAACAUCGAGGUCGCAAACAUUUUUAUUAAUAAGAACUCUCCAAAAAUAUUACGCUGUUAUCCCUAAGGUAAUUAAUUCUAAUUCUUUAAAUAAUAAUCUUUAAUUCAUUAAUUUAUGUUAUCUAAAUAUUAAAGUUUUUUUAAUUUAAUUAUCCCCCCAACUAAAUAUUAAAUUAUUACUAACUUAAAUUAAUAUUUUAUAACCAUUUAAUAUUAAAUUCUAUAGGGUCUUCUCGUCCCAUAAAACUAUUUAAGUAUUUUUACUUAAUAUAAAAUUUAUUAUUUUCAAUUUAAGAAAGUAUAAAUUUCAUCAAUUCCUUCAUCCUAGUCUACAAUUAAUAGACAAUUUAUUAUGCUACCUUUGCACAGUCAAUAUACUGCAGCUAUUUAAUAAAAUCAUUGAGCAGAAACAAUCUUAAA
rnacentral:rRNA from 1 species